rnacentral:lncRNA from 1 species
GACGGACUACUAACAAGAUAUUGUAAAAUAAUUGGACACAAAUACCCAGAUCAUCAAUGUUCAAGAUGUAAUGGAGAAGAUAAUAUUAUUCCAGAAGUACAUCUAGAAUAAAAAUCAAAAAGACAAAAUGCCAGCUGGAAAGAUAAGAUAAGGAGCAAUAAUGGAGAUAUAGCAGAUACGACAACGGAAUCAACGGAAG